UUAAUUAGUAUUAGUUAUGUUCUUUAAAGUUAAAGAAUUUGGCGGUAUUUUAGUCUAUUUAGAGGAACCUGUCCUAUAAUCGAUAAUCCACGAUUUAUUAUACUUAUUUAAAUUAGUUUGUAUAUCGUCGUCAUUAGAAUAUUUUAGGAGAAUACUAAUAUUCAAGAUUCAUGAUUAUGAAAAAAAUCAGAUCAAGGUGCAGCUUAUAGGUAAGAAGAGAUGGGUUACAAUAAAUUUAUUUAUAUGGUAUGAAUAUUGAAAAAUUCAUUAAAGUGGAUUUAAAGGUAAUAAAGUUUAAUUUAAUUUUAUGAUUUUAGCUCUAGAAUAUGCACACAUCGCCCGUC
rnacentral:rRNA from 1 species